AUUAAACAUUGUUAAUGUUUUGAUUGUUAAAGUUUGGUGUACCUCAGAAAUUGUGGGGGGAGCUCUUUUAUCAGUUUGAUAAAUUUUGAUAUUAUAAAUGCUUUCGUAACUUUAUUCUAGUGUUCAUCUUGGAAACAAAUUUUGCAAAUUCUAAGAUUGGAAGGUAAAUUAUUUUGAAACAUAAAUUUAUUUGAUGGUUAUUUUCAUGAUAUUACUGAUUUGAGUUUUAUCAGGUCUGAACAGAAUUUUGCAGAUUAUUUGACGAACGGCCUGAAUAGGACUGAAGUCCUGGAGUCAUCGAGGGGGAUAGGACUUGCCCAUAAUGGGCCUUCCUGCAGUGGGAGCCCAACCUUUGUAGUAGGAGAUCGCUUAAAGAAGGUUCAAUGUGGUAAAAAUAAGCUGUCAGGUUGGCCAAGAGCACUUUCUACAGUUUAUAUAAAGGAGCUUUAGCUCCAAUCUCAUCCUUAUGGUGAGUAGUGCUCUAUAUAGUGGUUGAGGUUGAGCUGAUAGCUCUUAAUGGAAUCCAAGACAGUAAUUUCCGCUAGAUGUGACACUACACACAUCUCUGGAGGAAACCACCUAUAUAAGAGUAUCCGUAUGUGGCCGCGACUAUGUGAUAUGGGCUAUCCAUAAAAAUUCUUAUAAAAAAUCAAGGUACUGUGUAUGGUCAUUAAUGCACAGACCCGCGACGAAGAAUUCUGCUCUGUGUGUGUGAUAGUUGAAGUCAGGGUCAAAGAAAUGUAGUUCAAGAUCUGGUUCACUCCGAUUUCUUCUAAUGGAAACUGUCUAUACUAAGUGAGGCUAAGUCUCUUAAAGACAUCUUACCUAUUACAUAGUAUAAAUACCCGAUGAUUUAUUAAUUUAUUAAUUUAUUUUAUAUUUAAUUUUUAUGUCGAGAUUUUAAAUUUUGUGGGGGAUUGUUGGAGUAAAAUUCAAAAUUCUCA
rnacentral:lncRNA from 1 species